AUGCGACUUAGUAUGUUUGUUUUCGUGCAUUUAUGUUCUUAGUUCUUAGUUAUGUUAGUAGUUUAAGCCAUUUUUGUGUGUUUGUAGGUUCUUUGGGCCAAGGAUGCAAGAAGGUGCAUUUUGGAGCACUUUGGAGCAUUUUUGGGCCAAAAUUGGAUGGUGCAAACAUGGAGACAUGAGGAUGGACGAAUUUGAUGAUUCAAAGGGCUAGAAAUCUGCAUGUGUGUGUGCAAAGUGUUGGCCUACAACUUCAAACAUCAUAGCUGCCAUGUGAUGGCAGAAAAUGUGUUUAUUGCUAGCUAAAUGGAUGAAGAACAUGCAUGUGCAAGUAUAAACACCACAUGGGCAGCAAGAAGGAAAGAAAACAGCAAAACACACACCACAUGGGCAGCAAGGAAUCAGAAAUUAAAGAAUGAAAGAGUGGGAAUUGAUGAGGACAACACACACACACACACACGGCAAUGGAAUGGAGUUGGCAGAUUUCUACAACAUUGGUAGUGAAUGGACAGCAAGGAAUGGCAGAAAUUGGACCACUAUGAGGUGGAUUUCUGGUUGGUCUUCCACUUAUAGCUUUGGGUGGCUUUGGAAUGAUUAUUUCUAGGUGGAAAUAGCACAAAAACAGCACACACACAUGCAAAACAAAGCUGGCAGCAUCCUUCCCUUCAUUGCCGUGGGUUUUUGUGUGUCCAUUACCUUGCAUUUCUUUUCAUUUCCAACCUCUAUAUAAGCACCAUUCAGCCUUCAAGGAAGACACACAGAAAUUCAUACACAUUUACAUUAGUUCCAAGGCUUGCAAAGAAGGAGGAGUGCUUGGAGUUGUGCUAGCCAUUCCAUUGGAGUUGUUGGAGCAUUCUAGGUGUAUUCUACUUUGUUUUUCUAUGUUUAAUAUCAAUUGUUUUUGUUUAAUUGCAAGUAUGAGGAACUAAUCCCCUACUUAGCUAGGGGGAAGUUCGAAGCCAUGAACAUGCUUGAGAUAUGAAUUGAUUUCUUCCAAUUGUGAUUUAAUAAGUUGUGAAUGCAAUUCAAUUAACUACUUUCUUCAAAACUAAUUCUUGUAUGUUGAUUAAGGAUGCAUACUUAGUUUUCAUGCAUGAAUUUGAUGCUAGGAUAUAAAUGAGUUUCACCUAAUCGUUACAAGUUUAUAUUCAUUGGUAGUGAAGGUUGCUAGUCACAAUCGCGUUAAUUGAAUUCUUGGCAAACGUAUCAUGCAUUCAUAGUUACAAUUGCCUCGUCAACACUUAUGAUUUUCAUUGAACGUAAUGAUCUUUGAUUGUAUCUCUAUUAUGCAUUCAUGUAGGGGACUUUUGGAGAAUAAUUUGGAUUGUCGUAUGCAUUCAUCCAAUUCAAUAAAUCAAGGAAAAUCUGAGGAUUAAUUAGUGAAUCACGGUUAAUCUGGGGUGUUGAGUUUCAUAAUCUAUUGAAAAGCAAUUGGAAAUCAAUUCAUGUACAAGUGUGUCAUGUGUGAAGAAUGGAUCUCUAGCUAAUCCAUCAACCAUCUGUUUAGUUUUACUUUUUGUUGUUAUCUCAAUCUCAUCAAAACCAAAUCCCCUUUUUUCUUAAUUCUUGUUCUAAAGUGUCUUAAAUUUGUUUAGUUUGUGCUUUAAAGUGUUUUGAGUCUAGUGAGGUAUUGUAAGGUAUAGUUUUGUGUCAUUGAGUCUAUUCUAAACAUUUUUAACUUUGUUCUUAUAUUUUUGAGUCAAGUGAGAGGUCAUUAGCAAGUCCUCCUAAUCCCCGGUCCAGAACGAUCCCUACUUAUACAUAUACUACAAUUGUCAACAAGAAGGUUUAAUUUGUGUGUCAAGUAAUUCUCGCAUCAAAUUUUGGCGCCGUUGCCGGGGAUUAGCAACUUUGCUAAUCCCUUGGUUCUUUUCUUUUUGUUUAGUUUGUUUUUGUUUUAGUUUCUGACUUAGUUUUGUUUUCCUUGUUUUGUGUUACUUUUGAUAUUUGAUUUAUUUUUCUUUCUUUGAUUUUAGGUACAAAUGGAGCGAGACAUGGCACUUGCGACCAUUCAAGCUCAAUUGGCACAGCUCACUGCUCAAUUGACUCAUAAUGCCGAACGGACCACAAUGCCAAGUGUCCCUACAUUUGAUGCAAAUGAAGAUGUUUGGGGAUAUCAUUAGCAAGUCCUUAAUUUUAUGCAAAUGAAGAUGUUUGGGGAUAUCAAGGCCAUAACCAAUCAAGGGGCAACAUAUUUUCCAACGCGUACAAUUCAGAUUGGAGAGGUAAUUCAGAUUAUAUGUGGGAUGAACCUCAACAAUUUCAACAAGGUGGAUAUUGGCAGCAAGACGAGUUUUAUUCAAGACCUAUGCAGCCACCACAGCAUCCCCCACAACAAUUCCAAUCAAAUCAAAGUAUGCCCGUGAAUUAUAAUGAAAUUCUUGAAGGACUAAUUUCUGUGGCGCAGGGUUUACAAAAAGAAGAACAAUUGCCGCCAUCAGAAGAGUUCUAUCAGUAGCCAUAUGAACCGUCACAGCCACCACAACAAUCAACCCAAUUCAAUUCAGGUACAUCCUUGGAUAAUGAUACACUUAAUAAGUUACUCACCUUUUUGAAUCAGGGCAAAACCAGGAGAUGCAAGACCGAGUCAAAAGAUUGGACAAAUUGGAUAUGCAAGUUGGGCAGAUUGUGGAAUUCAUGGCACAGAUUCGAGAUCAAAGUGAACUUUCCAACUCAAACAUUGCAAAUUCAAAGGCAGAAGUUGAAAUCGAUGAAGCCAUCACUUUGGAAGAAUGAACACAUGAAGGAUGAAGCUGAAUCCAGAACAAUCAACAACACAGCCCGAACAUGGAUGAAUUGCUGCUGCAAGCAGAAGAGGAGAAGGACGAAGACCUGGGUUCAAGAAGUUAGAAGAAUUCUUGCUGCAACUCCUCAAAUCCCAUGUCAUUGAAACACUGGAUUCAACAAGUUCAAUCAAAUGUCCCCAAGUUCAAAUUUGUUCCAACAAUGUGCCUGUUUGUCAUUGAAAGUUUGUGUUCAAAGAAAAAGAAAGUAAGCCAUCUUCUCCAAUUCAAUUUUAAUGGAAUUAUACUAAACAUGUUUCUGAUUUUGAUGAUUCAAGGCACCCACUCUUGAAUUUAAACCAUUGCCCCAAAGAAUCAUUUCAAGAUAUCACACCAUCCAUUAAAAGAAACCCGGAAAUUUCCAAUGCUUUUGGAGCCGAGGGGAGUUUAAAAAGAUGUCCGGCUAAGGACGUUAAAUCAAGCGCUUCUUGUUCAGAGGCAACCCAAGCAUUUCAACGAAGGGAGACUUUGGAAUCGCUAACCAAAUCAGGGAGCAUUUUGCAUUACACCCUUAUCUUUACUGCUUUCAUUUUGUUCAGUUAGUUGUGUUAUUUGGUUGAUUUCUGUGAGUUUGUGUUAUUUAGUUUAAGUGUGGGGGAAGGUUAAACAAAGUCUUUUUACAUUGAUUUACAUAUUUUACAUUGAUUUAAAAAAAAAAAAAACAUAAAAGUAAAAAUAUUUUACAAUGAUGUGUAAACUAAUAGUUUUCAUUGGUCAGGUGGUGCUUCAGUAGUCGGCGGAGCUUCAGCAGUCGGUGGGGCCACGGAAGGAGGAGGUAUCAAAGGUUGAUCAGUUGGAGCUUCACUACGCGGUGCCGCUCCAGAAGACGAAGGCAGAUGUUGUUGGAACAAACCCACAAACCUCCGAUGAUCAAGUAAAAUCUGACCAUUAGAUUCAUGUAUCUGGUCAAUUUUCCUCUUCAUGUUUGUGGCAUAGUUGUGUGCAAGCUUGUGCAAUUGUUUAUUUUCAUGCUUGAGUCCUCUAAUCUCCUCUUUGAGACUCUGUAUUUCAGCCACCAACGAUUCAACGUGACGGGUUCGAGCAAAUAGGCGUUGGGCCAUGUUGGACACAGAACCCGCACACUGCACACUAAGAGCCAGAGACUCCUUAACCGCCAAUUCAUCAGACCGUCUAGCAAGCAGUCUGUUAUCUCUGGGGGUGACAAGGUUCCGGGCCACCACCACAGCGGUCAUGUCAUUUUUCAUCACCGAAUCCCCAACGGUGAGAGGACCAGUAGGGGAUAUGAAAGAUGGGCUCCAUAUGUUGUCUGGUGAAGGCGGAGCUGCCUCUUCACCAAUGUUCAAGUCAAAACGACGAUCGGAAGGGCCAGACAUUUUCUGAAGGUGUUGAGAAAGAAGAGAUCGGACAGAUUAAGAAUUUGGAAAUUGCAAGAAGGGAGUGUUUACAAGAGGGAGCUCAAGUGUGUUGUGGAACACAAUUAGCGCCUCUAUAAAAAGAAGAAAUCGGAGAGGCGCUCCUCAGAGAAGCGUCCUCUCGCAAAUCGAAGAGUCGGGGCUCCUUUCUCAAACGCCUGAUUCUUUUCUCAAAAGAGGAGCCUUUCUGCCGGUUUCUUUUCUUAAAAGAGGCGUUUCAUUUCUCAAAAAAUGGGCUUGCUCAGAAACCACGAGCCGAACCCCGGAUUUCAAAAGAUCAAUUUGUCCAGACGUGUCGUCACUCGUCACAUGCAACUGGCAGCUUUGCGGAAAUUACGGGCAACUUUGUUAGAAAGCGCGUAAUUUGUACUAUUCAUCCAUCUACCGGCUGCCGACAAUGAGUGAGAGAAUAGUUCCGGUUGUGAAGAAAAGUCCUAUAAGUAUUUACCUUCGCCUUCCACAGCAAAGGCACACCUUCUUCAUCUCCGAGAUUGCAUUCCCAAAGAACCCUCUCGAGUCACUCUGUAUUCCUCAAGAACCCUUCACUCUGGGAUUCCUCAUUCCCUGGCCCCCUGCAAACAACCCAUCCAGAGCAAAAGUAUUUCAUAUCAUAAAGGUUGAAAGCAAGAGUAUCUCAUCUCAUGCAUUCUCCAUGUCCUUUUCCUUGUCUUUGUUCUAACCUGCAGGACAUGGAGAAAUUGCUCUCGAGUACUCGUCUUCCACUGCUGAUGUACUUGCAAAGAAGCUGCCACAUCUACCUGAAGAACAGAUAAGGCAAGCGAAAAUGAUACCAGCAGCAUGUGGAGACAACGUACAGAAGAAACAAGCAGAGAAGAAUGCAGCUUGCACAAUCAUCCCAGCGGAAGGAGUCUGAGAUGAAGAACAAGAGAAGCUGCCACAUCUGCUUGGAGAACAAAUAAGGAACUGCAACAUCGCCAAAGAGCAAAGUCUCGCCGUACAAUAUCAUCAAAUCAUCACUUGCAAGUAAAAAGCUAAGUGUCACCCAGUUCAAGAGGAAAACUGUGGAAAGUCAACAAGCACGACUAAUGAUCACUUAUUAGUUCUAUUCAUUGUCUUUUAUCGUGAUUUUCAAUUUUUCGUUUGCAAUUCUUGCGUUACUUAACUGAUUUAUUUCUUUUCUUUGCAGGAACUUUUGGUUAUUUCCACCCUUGAAGUUGAUUGCAGAAUUUUAGCUUGGGGGGUCAUCGCUUGGUUUUACUGCAAACUAGGGAAGUUUUUAGUCCAAUUGCUUUAUUUUCUUAUAUUAUAGUGUUUUCUGACAUUGGUAUAGAUUUCAUGGGUCCUUUCCCUCCAUCUUUUGGUUUCACUUAUAUCUUGCUAGCUGUUCAAAUUCCAUUAUUGUUUUGUGAAAACUAAUUUGGGUUUGAAGCCCUCAUUAUUUCCGGAACUCCAUGGAAAUUAAAAGAUUCUAGGAAUUUCCGACUCCAACCAUGGGGUUUUAGUUUGCAUGUUGCCUUCUCGUUGUUUGUUUGCCCUUUGUUUAUGUUUGUGUUUGUUUGACUAAUGUGUGAGUUUAUUUAAAUUGGGGGGGUUGUAAAACAAGUUGCUGUUGCAUGAUUUUCGUGGGAUUUUAUUCACCUAUCACUUACAAUGUUGUGUUUCUUGCUGUUUUUUAAGUGUGUUUUUAAGUGUGUUUUUAAGUUUGUUUUUGACAAAAAAUCAAAAUUUGACAAAAAGUUGAAUUGAAAAAAUUUUGAAAAAAGCCAAAAAGAGAGUUGUUUUUGUGUUGUGUUUGUUUGUGUCUUAGGGUACCUUCCAACAAAAUAAUGAGGAUUUGGUUUUUAAUUGCAUGACUGUUAAAGUUAAAGUUAUAAACAUGGAUGGAAGUUUGAUAUGCUCUUGAUUUAUGCUUGGUUAUAGUUAUAGUUUACGAAUUCACAUGUAAUCACAAAGAAAAAAAUUAGUUUUUGUAACAUGCUUGAAGGAAGGAACUCAAACUAACACUACAACCUUGAGAGACUUGAGCCUAAUACGUUCUUUGGAGAGUUAUUAAUCUGUGCAUUUUUGUUUUCUAAAGUCGUUGCAUGAUCUCAUCAUUCUUUGCUUGGUUGCUACUUAGAAGGCGUUUCAUCAUUUAGUUCCAAAUACUAGAACUUAUGCCCGUUCCAUUCAAAGCAUGACAUUGAUUUGCAUAACACAUAUUCAAGAUGAAGUUGUGUAGUGAACUAGAGCCAAAAAGCUUAUCCCGUGCAUAUUUGUUUAAGUUUAACCCCGUUGAGCCUUGUUUAGCCUGUUUCUUUGUUAAACGACAUUUCCCUUACCUAGCCUAGAUUAGGACUAUCCAUACCCUUGUUUUUAAAGCAUAAUGAAGCAUGACUUAAAAUGAAUUCCUUUUGAGUGUCCUUAUGCAGAAAACAAGUGUGGGGGAAUGAGAUUUUUGUGUUUUGUGUGCCAAAAGAAAGUAAUAAGGCACGGGUUAGAAAAGAAAAAAAAGAAAAAAGAAAAGAAAAAGUGUUGAAAAGAAAAGAAAAAGAGUUUGAAAUAAGUGAGGAAAGGCUCACAAGUGUUGUUUGUUGUAGAAAGGGUCCAAAAAGUUGAAAUUGGCCCUAAAAAGUUGAAUGAAUAAUCCCAUUGUGUUUAAAGUUAGUUGCUGCAUUCAAAGGGAAUUCUAAGCAUCAAUUUCAUUACUUUGCUUAUUAUGCUUUAAAAACGUUUGUUUCCUUACCUUUCAUUGUUAGCCAAUCAACCCUAACCCCGUUACAACCCUUAACUUCAAUCUUGAGUGUUAUGUGUUUCAAUAUGUAGAGUUUGGGAUUGGUACGAGCAUAUGGUGUCCCUGGUUCUCGCAUCUAAGUAGUAGCAUUCCAGUCAUGAGAUCAUAUCUAUACAUGCUUAAUAACUCCAGAAAUUACUUUCUUUGCUAUAAACAUAUGUGAGUGUUCAUUUUCAUGUUUACAUCAAUCUUCUCACAUACACCUAGUGUAGGGUGAGUAGUCAGAAAAUCAGAGUGAAAAUAAGAGUGUAUCUUGUAAGGAAUUGAGCAAAUUCUCUAAGGCAUGUCACUACAUUCAAAACAUCGUUUUAAUUGGUUAUAUGUGAACUAGUAUGUGGUGACUAUGAUUAAGUAUGUGCUCAAGGGUAGGGAAGGCAAAAAAAUAUGUGGUUAUGAUGAUCUUUUGCAUGUCAUGUUGCAUUGAAAAUCCCUAAGGUAAAUGUUGGAAGGUUUAGGUUUUGUUUUGUUUAUCUUAUGUUUUUGUUUCUUUGUUUUGCUCGAGGACUAGCAAAAGCUAAGUGUGGGGGAAUUUGAUAGGAGCAUAUUUAUGCGACUUAGUAUGUUUGUUUUCGUGCAUUUAUGUUCUUAGUUCUUAGUUAUGUUAGUAGUUUAAGCUAUUUUUGUGUGUUUGUAGGUUCUUUGGGCCAAGGAUGCAAGAAGGUGCAUUUUGGAGCACUUUGGAGCAUUUUUGGGCCAAGAUUGGAUGGUGCAAACAUGGAGACAUGAGGAUGGACGAAUUUGAUGAUUCAAAGGGCUAGAAAUCUGCAUGUGUGUGUGCAAAGUGUUGGCCUACAACUUCAAACAUCAUAGCUGCCAUGUGAUGGCAGAAAAUGUGUUUAUUGCUAGCUAAAUGGAUGAAGAACAUGCAUGUGCAAGUAUAAACACCACAUGGGCAGCAAGAAGGAAAGAAAACAGCAAAACACACACCACAUGGGCAGCAAGGAAUCAGAAAUUAAAGAAUGGAAGAGUGGGAAGUGAUGAGGACAACACACACACACACACACGGCAAUGGAAUGGAGUUGGCAGAUUUCUACAACAUUGGUAGUGAAUGGACAGCAAGGAAUGGCAGAAAUUGGACCACUAUGAG
rnacentral:lncRNA from 1 species